CAGUCGCCACGGUAAUACGAAGGGGGCUAGCGUUGCUCGGAAUGACUGGGCGUAAAGGGCGCGUAGGCGGCGAUCAAAGUCAGGCGUGAAAUUCCUGGGCUCAACCUGGGGGCUGCGCUUGAUACUUGGUUGCUUGAGUGGGGAAGAGGGUCGUGGAAUUCCCAGUGUAGAGGUGAAAUUCGUAGAUAUUGGGAAGAACACCGGUGGCGAAGGCGGCGACCUGGUCCUUGACUGACGCUGAGGCGCGAAAGCGUGGGGAGCAAACAGGAUUAGAUACCCGUGUAGUCCCUGUCUCUUAUAC
rnacentral:rRNA from 1 species